ACGCUGGCGGCAGGCCUAACACAUGCAAGUCGAGCGGUAGAGAGAAGCUUGCUUCUCUUGAGAGCGGCGGACGGGUGAGUAAUGCCUAGGAAUCUGCCUGGUAGUGGGGGAUAACGUUCGGAAACGGACGCUAACACCGCAUACGUCCUACGGGAGAAAGCAGGGGACCUUCGGGCCUUGCGCUAUCAGAUGAGCCUAGGUCGGAUUAGCUAGUUGGUGGGGUAAUGGCUCACCAAGGCGACGAUCCGUAACUGGUCUGAGAGGAUGAUCAGUCACACUGGAACUGAGACACGGUCCAGACUCCUACGGGAGGCAGCAGUGGGGAGUAUUGGACAAUGGGCGAAAGCCUGAUCCAGCCAUGCCGCGUGUGUGAAGAAGGUCUUCGGAUUGUAAAGCACUUUAAGUUGGGAGGAAGGGUUGUAGAUUAAUACUCUGCAAUUUUGACGUUACCGACAGAAUAAGCACCGGCUAACUCUGUGCCAGCAGCCGCGGUAAUACAGAGGGUGCAAGCGUUAAUCGGAAUUACUGGGCGUAAAGCGCGCGUAGGUGGUUAGUUAAGUUGGAUGUGAAAUCCCCGGGCUCAACCUGGGAACUGCAUUCAAAACUGACUGACUAGAGUAUGGUAGAGGGUGGUGGAAUUUCCUGUGUAGCGGUGAAAUGCGUAGAUAUAGGAAGGAACACCAGUGGCGAAGGCGACCACCUGGACUGAUACUGACACUGAGGUGCGAAAGCGUGGGGAGCAAAC
rnacentral:rRNA from 1 species